rnacentral:rRNA from 1 species
AUUGAACGCUGGCGGCAGGCCUAACACAUGCAAGUCGAACGAGUGGCGGACGGGUGAGUAAUGUCUGGGAAACUGCCUGAUGGAGGGGGAUAACUACUGGAAACGGUAGCUAAUCCCGCAUACCAUCAGAUGUGCCCAGAGGGGAGGAGAUUGUUGGUGGGGUAACGGGUCACCAACGCCGCGAUCCCUAGCUGGUCUGAGAGGAUGACCAGCCACACUGGAGCUGAGACACGGUCCAGACUACUACGGGAGGCAGCAGUGGGGAAUAUUGCACAGUGGGCGCGAGCCUGAUGCAGCCAUGCCGAGUGUAUGAAGGAGGCCUUCGGGUUGUAAAGUACUUUCAGCGGGGAGGCGUUACCCGCAGAAGAAGCACCGGCUAACUCCGUGCCAGCCGCCGCGGUAAUUC